UGAUGCAGCCAUGCCGCGUGUAUGAAGAAGGCCUUCGGUUGUAAAGUACUUUCAGCAGUGUAGGAAGGUGGAUAUGUUAAUAGCAUAUUCAUUUGACGUUAGCUGCAGAAGAAGCACCGGCUAACUCCGUGCCAGCAGCCGCGGUAAUACGGAGGGUGCGAGCGUUAAUCGGAAUUACUGGGCGUAAAGCGCAUGCAGGUGGUUUGUUAAGUCAGAUGUGAAAGCCCGGGGCUCAACCUCGGAAUUGCAUUUGAAACUGGCAAACUAGAGUACUGUAGAGGGGGUAGAAUUUCAGGUGUAGCGGUGAAAUGCGUAGAGAUCUGAAGGAAUACCGGUGGCGAAGGCGGCCCCCUGGACAGAUACUGACACUCAGAUGCGAAAGCGUGGGGAGCAAACAGGAUUAGAUACCCUGGUAG
rnacentral:rRNA from 1 species